GGCACAUCUACCAUCUACCAUCCGACAACGGCCGUCAAAUCAGCUGUGGCUAAUAAAAACACAAGCAAAAAUUUUAAAAGUGGAAUUGCCAGACCAAAAUGAAACAUUUACCAACUAUUUUGGGUGUUGCACACAGCAAAAUCUUAAGUUGAAUCAGCUUUUAUUGGCAGCCAAUUCAGAGGAGUGGAAUGACGACGAAUUGGAUCUGUACGAAAGCAUUUUUUCUGCAAAAGAGCAAAUGCCACGAAGUGUGUGGAUGCUGAUGCGAUACGGGACAUUUUGGGAAAGGAUAUACCGGAAAACAACGACGAGUUCUUCAAAGAGAGCUUUCGUAUGGAGAAGAGGACCUUUUUGUUUUUGGUGGACCGACUAGGUGUUUUGAGGAAGAACUGGCGAAAUGCCAUUCCUCUGGAAAAACGGAUCGCUAUAGCCUUGGGAUCAUUAGCGGUUUGUUGGGAAUGGUCUUGACAGCCACUACAAGAAUAAUAAUGCAGUCAUUUUAGCCUGUUGCAUUUUGCACAACAUUUUAAAUGAGCACAACAGCGCUAUAAAUGAAACUUGGCAACAGGCUGCAAGUGACCUACGCGAACAACCAAAUCGGACUAAUAUGUCUGCAGAUUUUAGCCAGCCUGCAUAAAAAAAAGGGCAGCUAUUUCCCAAUAUUGUCUAAAUGGUAACAAAUAAAGUUCAUUAAUUAUAAA